UUGCUAUCUCCAUCUUAUUCAAAGCAGUCAGGACUGGGAAAUGAAAUUAUCCUAGACAGAAGAAACACCAACCAGAAGAAACUUCAGUUGUUAGGGCCUGAA